rnacentral:ribozyme from 1 species
AAGACGAUUGUGACAAAGCGAAGAUUAACGCUCAUUCCAUCGAUUGCAUUGUCGGCACGGACGUCGUCUUUUCGACACGAUUUGUUUUGCCCAUGCUGGAAACAAUGAAAU